GGGCGAGCAGCGGGAGGCACGGGCUCUCUCUAGCAGGUGGCUGCAGCCAUGGAGAGGCUCUGUGCCGCCGCUGUCAAGGGCCAGACGGGCCCAGAGCGCCCAAGCCCCUUCAGUCAGCUGGUCUACACCAACAACGACUCUUACGUGAUUCACCAUGGGGAUCUCAGGAAGAUCCACAAAGCUGCCUCCCGGGCCAAGCCUGGAAGCUGGAGAGGAUGAUGAAGAAGACGACAAUGGACCUGAACAUAAGAGAUGCGAAGAAGAGGACUGCUCUACACUGGGCCUGUGCCAAUGGCCAUGCAGAAGUAGUAACACUUCUGGUAGAUAGAAAGUGCCAGCUUGACGUCCUUGAUGGCGAAAACAGGACAACUCUGAUGAAGGCUCUGCAAUGCCAGAGGGAGGCUUGUGCAAAUAUUCUCAUAGAUUCUGGUGCUGAUCCAAAUAUUGUAGAUGUGUAUGGCAACACAGCUGUCCAUUAUGCUGUUAACAGUGAGAAUUUGUCAGUGGUGGCAAAAUUGCUGUCCUGUGGUGCAGACAUUGAAGUGAAGAACAAGGUAGACAUUAACCAAUGUUAUUUUCAAAAUAUUUGAAAUCCAUUUGUUUUAACAUUAACAUAUGUAAAUUGUUUUAUAUUUGGAAGCUCAAACAUUCCUAUUUUUCUAUGAAAAUAGUUUGACAAAACUUAAUUGUCUAGGAUUUUGCUUUAAAUAUUAAUAUUUUUACAAGAACUAUUAGUAUGGCUUUUCUGUGCAUUAUGAUAAAUAUUUAAAUUUGUUAAAGGUAAAACAUUUUCAAAUAUUCUUUCCCACCCAAGUUUUUUUUUUCUUUCCAGUUAGUGUAAAACUACAAGAAAGUAAAAUUUGCCUGCAUAAAUUGAGUCAACAUGUAAAAUUUAGGAGACAUGCAGAAAUCUGGAUUUCCUCUUAAAGGAUUGAAUCUUGUGUCUCUUGAGCCCGUAUGACUGUUUGGUAUGCUAUGAAGACAUUCUAGUUUUACAUAAAGCAUAUGUUUCCAGUUUGCUACUGUGCCCACCUAGUUACAUCACUUAUUCAACUUACCUAUUUUGCCUCUUUAAAUAUUUCAGUUAUCAAUUCCUCUCUCAUAGUACAUUUUGGUAAAGAUUUCAAGUUAUUGAAGGCAGUUUAUAGGUGUUUAUAAUAUAUAGUUUAUAUUUUACAUUAAUUCAUUAAUAAUGGGGUUGUCUUCUAGAAUUUAGAAUAUUUUAUAAAUGAUGAUUUUUCUCAUAUAAACCAUAAAUAAUCAUCUUCUAUUAGAAGGCCUUUAAGCCUUUUUAGAUUAAUCAUGGUUAUAUUUGAAUAUGUUAUGCAUAUUGCAGAAAAAAUAUUAUAUCUUUCUCCACAGAAUUGUCCCUUAAAAUUCAAGUGAUUUAGUGGCUUCUAUUUUGCUAAGCCACAUACAUGAGUUAGAACUUUCAUUAAUAAGCCAUUUUAUUCAUACUUCUGAUAUUUUGCCAAAAAAUAGUAUCAAUUACAAUAGAAACCAGAAUAAAAAUGGAUUAUUGCAUUUUAAGAAGUAGAUAUGCAUUAGGAUCCUAGGAGUAUCAUUCUAAUAGAGAAUAAACUUUUAUACUGAAUUUCUUUUCUUUUUUUCUUUCUCUUUUUUUUUUUUUUUUUUGAGACAGAGCCUUGCUCUGUCACCAGGCUGGAGUGCAGUGGUGUGAUCUCGGCUCACUGCAAUCUUUACCUCCCUGGUUCAAGCGAUUCUCCUGCCUCAGCCUCCUGAGUAGCUGGGACGCAGGCAUGUUCCACCACGCCUAGCUAAAUUUUUUGUAUUUUUAGCAGAGAUGGGGUUUCACCAUGUUGACCACGAUGGUCUCGAUCUCCUGACCUUGUGAUCUGCCCGCCUUGGCCUCUCAAAGUGCUGGGAUUACAGGCAUGAACCACUUUGCCUGGCCUUUUAUACUGAAUUUCUAAUAGCUGAGAUAAAAUCCUAUUGUCUGGUAAUAGGAUAAACCCCAUGGACCAUUUAAGAAUAUGCAAUCAAAGUUUAUUUGAAGCCAAUCUCUUUUAAUUUACAGCCACUUCCUUAGUGACCCAUUUAGAGCAGGAGUGCCUGACAUUGGCAUUUGGAAUCUUGGGAUCAUUGAUAGAAGAGAAUCAAGUGAGUUUGUAUCACCCAGAGGAAACCUCCAUUUUUGGGGGGAAGCUUUCAAAACUGCAUCCCUGAAAUUCUAAUUUGUCAAAUGUUAAUGUUUGUCACAAAAAUAUACUGUCAAAUAAGGAUUAGGUAAAGUUCAAUUCAUUUCUUGAAUAAUGAACAUUUAAUUCACAGUUUUAUAACAUUUCUUGAACAUAGAUAAUGGUGGAAUCUGUUGGGGUACAGUGCUUCUGGUAAGGUAAUUAUUCUUUGGAAUAAAGUUGAAGAAACACUGUUCUAGAAGUAAUAAUUUAGAUUACUAAUUUAGUAAAAAAUAAAGUAUUUACUACUAUGUCUUAGGGUUUAAGGAUAUAGAGGUAAAAGAUACAGCCCCUGCCCUCAAGAAGCUCUUGGUUUACAUGGGAAACAAUAAAAUCAUUACAAUGUAAUGAUUUUUGGAGAUAACCAGAGUUAAUGUGGUGAUGCAGAGGCUGAAUGUUUACAAGAGAAGGUGCAGUGCAUGGGAAAGCACAGAAAAGUGAGAAAGAAGGGAUUGCUAUUGAUUUACUUUCCAUUGUUUAAGUUCAUAGGAUAUUAUAUAAGGUAUUCAAUUCAGCUGAGAAAUAUGUAAUUUCAUGAAUUAUAAAUUGUUUUUGCUGUUUUACAGGCUGGCCACACACCACUUUUAUUGGCCAUAAGGAAAAGAAGUGAGCAAAUUGUGGAAUUUUUACUGACAAAAAAAUGCAAAUGCAAAUGGAGUUGAUAAGUUUAAAUGCAUUCAUCAACAACUUUUGGAAUAUAAACAAAAGAUAUCUAAAAAUUCUCAAAAUAGUAAUCCAGAAGGAACAUCUGAAGGAACACCUGACGAGGCUGCACCCUUGGCGGAAAGAACAGCUGACACGGCCGAAAGCUUGGUGGAAAGAACACCUGACGAAUAGGAUACAGUGAAUUCCUCUUCAAAGAUUUUAGCCUGUAAACAUCCUUUAAAAUUCAAGAGGGGGGAAGAUUAAGUACAAUGAGUUCUGAGUUCCUCAUCAAAGAACAAAUAUGUCAGUAUGUUCAGCUUCUCCGUUCUUUGUUCUCCGUUUUAAAGUUUAACUUCCUCGUUCGUUAUGCCUCCUUGCCCCUAGUUUCAUUAAACAACCCCCUUCUAGCCUCUAACA
rnacentral:lncRNA from 1 species